UCACAUCAAUAUCGCCUCCACCAGACACGCCUCCUCCUCCUCUCGCUCCACGCCUUCCAUGUCAUCGCCAUCGCCGCUCCUUCUCUUCUUCCUUGCCCCCUCCCUCCCCUCCUUCACAAGUUGUGUGCCAGACGAUCCCCUCGAGGAUGGAUGCGGGUCAGGGAGAAUCCGGGAAAGUGGGCGGGGGCGGGUCGACCUAGGCUCGAUAUUGAGCCCUCUCAUGGUCGCGCCCACGCCACCUGCGUUCCUUACCUCCCGCGGCACAGAUGCUGCUUCUGGGGCUCCGCUAGUACAUGACUACGUCCGGCCCACAACUAGUGGAAGGCCCUGCUUGGCCUCUUCCCUGGAGCAAGACUAAAUCCUAUCUUUCGCGUUGGAUCCCCACUAAGUGACUUAUCUUCUCCUUGCUUGUUCAAUUUCUUUUCUCAUUGCUCUUUAGUUGAUCAAUACGAACAGGGUACCCCAUGCCCACUAUAUACUCAUCAUCACCGCUCCGAUCCGCCCGACCCCAACUACUCAGCUACUUCCUACCACCACCUGGUACUCCUAUUUUCUUGAUGCUCAUGCGCUGCUUGUUGUCCUCACCUCUGCUGAUGUAUUUAAUUUCAGGCAUUAUUGUUCAUUGGGUGUCUAGAAGUAGGGCUGGACACGAGCCGAGCCGAGCCGAGUUUGAUCCGAGCUAGGCUUUGGCUCGCCCAUGAGCGAGCUGGCUCGGCUCGGCUCGGUUGGUGAACGAGCCUACUUUUAGUGGCUCGGCUCGUCUUGCCUCCUGCUCGGUCCAGCCCGAGCGGCUCGUGUGAGUGAGUGCCGAUGUGUAUGUUCAGUCUUCAAUAUGCAUGGGAGCGGCCGGUGUGUGCGUGCGCGCCGCCGGUGAAGUGUGGGCGCGUGUGUGUGCUCGCAAAGUCUCCUCCGCGUGGCCGGCUGCUGGGGUCAUCGUUGGGAGAGGAGGGCAUGGACUGGAGGCCAUACCUGCUUUUGCCGGCGAGGAAUCACGACAACGACGAACGACGGCGUCCGGCGCAGCGGCGAACAGGCACGUACGCCGUCGGUGUCGACGGCGAGCCAUAGAGCUUCAUGCGCGGCGAGGAGCACGACGUAGGGUGGUGGCCACUGGCUGGACGGCGGCGGGGCGGCAAGGCGCAAACCCUAAGCAGCGGCGGCUGCAUUCGCUCGCUGGGGGACGCACAUGUGAGUCGGGGUGCUUUUAAUGGGCUUGGGCUGCUCCUGUAGGCUGCUAUGUCUAGGCAAUGGGCUGAGAAUUAUCUAAAAAAAUUAAUUGAGCUGCAAAACGAGCCACCGAGUUGGACCGAGCGGAAACCGGCUCGGCUCGGUCGUCGAACGGGCCUAAAUUUGCUAGCUCGGCUCGGCCUAUUUUCUUGUCGGGCCGAGCUGAGUUGGCCCGAGCUGGAGCGAGUUUCGGGCCGAGCCGAAAAGCUCGCUUGAGCGUCCAGUCUUAUCUAGAAGACCUUUUAGAUUGUAGUAAAAUGACCUAUAUAUUGGUUUUAGAACAUAGCGAGACUAAGUCGUAAUAUAGUUGCUACUUUUAUCUUUUUGCAUCAGUUCUGAUUGGUAUAUGGAAUAUGGAUUUGCAUACACCAUUUUAUGUAGUAAUUGUAUCCUUGUGCAAUAGUUCUUUUCAUCCAAUUCCAGUAUUUGGUUAGCUUAGUUAAUGAUAUGGGAAUUCUGCAGGAAUUUUUAUAUGUCCGAUCCAUAUUCAUGAGUUGUGCAUAUGCGGUAUGGUUGGUUGUUUAUGCAUUCUUGCUCUUUAAAUCUUUGUUGGGCGAUGAUACCAUUUGGUAAAGAACAUAACUUGAACACCCAUGCUUCUUCUGAUUUUUUUACACUCCAAUCAUUUAAAGGAUUAUGGGAAGAUGCAACUGACAUAUAUGAUGCUCCAUGUCAAACGGGAUCAAAGGGGAGAUCAUUCCCUUAUUCAAUUGCAUAGGACACUUUUUUUAUACAGUCGGGAUAUAUGCAGUGCAGCAUGAGCAACUUCAAAAAAAGACACCACAUUUUUCCCUGGUAGCUUUAAUACAAAGUAGAUGAUGAUUUUUCUCAUGUAUAGAUUGGUAAUUUCUCCUUUUUUUCAUGUAUUUUUUAAAACUUUUUGCUACCUAGCAUACUAGUCUAGAAGUUACCCUAUUGCAACACACUUUUGUCUAGAACUAUGUGAUUUUGUGAUCAUUAAAGGUUCCUUUUUUA